UACGGAGGGUGCAAGCGUUGUUCGGAAUCACUGGGCGUAAAGCGCGUGUAGGCGGCUUUGCAAGUCGGGUGUGAAAGCCCUCAGCUUAACUGAGGAAGUGCGCCCGAAACUGCUUAGCUUGAGUGCCGGAGAGGAUGGCGGAAUUCCCCAAGUAGAGGUGAAAUUCGUAGAUAUGGGGAGGAACACCGGUGGCGAAGGCGGCCAUCUGGACGGUAACUGACGCUGAGACGCGAAAGCGUGGGGAGCAAACAGG
rnacentral:rRNA from 1 species